AUCACCACUCACAAGUCAUGUGUCUUUGUUGCUUUUAACAAAACUACGAAACGAUGAUCGAUAGAAACUUGAUAAAUGAAUAUGAAUGGUUUUUAAAAGAGGAUACUAACAAAAGCUUAAAAUAUCUUCUUUCAUUAAUAAAAGAAUGUGGUAAAAUAUAUCCUUUGCAUCUAUGGGACAAUGAAAACUACUCAAAACCACUUAUUUACCAUUUAAUAAGUGAAAACAUAGAUUGCUCCUUAACCAUUAUGGGUGACAAUAUUCAACAAAUGGAGCUAAAAAUUAAUCCUCAUUUAAAUAAUCAAACACAAUAUACCAUAUCAUCAAAUCCUAUUAAUUUAAAUAUACAACCUGAUUUACCAUGGAAACUUCAACAAGUUCAAGAUUCAUCUAAUUUUCUCUACCUCUCAUAUGAAUAUUUGAGAAAUAUAAUAGAUCAAAAUAUUACCUUUACUACAAUCACUGAUUUAAUGAGAAUUAUAGAUGACAUGUAUAUAUAUUUGGUAAAAGGGAGGGAUUCUUUAUUAUUACCAAGAAGAAAAAAUUUUGAAGAGAUAUCUUCAUCCCCUACUAUGAAAAUUUUAAAAAAUUAUUUGCCAAAAGGUGUUGAUAUUAGUUUUUAUCUAAAUGGUUCCAGACUUACAUUAGCUUUAUAUGUUGCACCAAAACCUGGAGAAAUAAAUACCACAUUAAAGAAUAACCUAAGCUAUCCUAAUUAUCAUAUUUCUCAAGUGGACCACGAAAUAAUAUGGGUAUCGACAGUUAUCGAUUCAUAUGAAAAAAUCAUAGCCUUUUGUGAUAAAUUUGCCAACAAGGUUCUAUUAGGCUUUAACCCAGACGAAUACACCGCAGGGUUGGGAGGGGGAGGCAUAAACACGAAAUUGCCUAGCAUCUAACCGAUUACACCCUAAGCUGCUUUAAAAUAUUCAGAAAAAGGAGCAUUUAUUUAAAAAAAAUGUGUCCACGUUUUCAAGUCAAUUCUAAAAGAAGCUUUCUUAAUGAUUGGACUAUAAUUUAAAUAUUAUUUAUUCAACUUGUAAUUAUUUUAGUUAUUAUUAAAACAUUUAUUUGUAAUUUUUAAAAAUUAUUUAUAUAUUGCUGAUGCUUUCAGGACGUUUUAUUUUUUUGUUGUAUUCUCUGAGCAAAAAUCAUAUAACAAUGAAUGCUUGAUCUAUUAUCAAAUAUAAUAAACAUCAUAAUUUU